UGGGGAAUUUUGGACAAGGGCGAAAGCCUGAUCCAGCAAUGCCGCGUGUGUGAAGAAGGCCUUCGGGUUGUAAAGCACUUUUGUCCGGAAAGAAAUCCUUGGCUCUAAUACAGUCGGGGGAUGACGGUACCGGAAGAAUAAGCACCGGCUAACUACGUGCCAGCAGCCGCGGUAAUACGUAGGGUGCAAGCGUUAAUCGGAAUUACUGGGCGUAAAGCGUGCGCAGGCGGUUUGCUAAGACCGAUGUGAAAUCCCCGGGCUCAACCUGGGAACUGCAUUGGUGACUGGCAGGCUAGAGUAUGGCAGAGGGGGGUAGAAUUCCACGUGUAGCAGUGAAAUGCGUAGAGAUGUGGAGGAAUACCGAUGGCGAAGGCAGCCCCCUGGGCCAAUACUGACGCUCAUGCACGAAAAGCGUGGGGAGCAAAACAGGAUUAGAUACCCUGGUAGUCCACGCCCUAAACGAUGUCAACUAGUUGUUGGGGAUUCAUUCCUUAGUAACGUAGCUAACGCGUGAAGUUGACCGCCUGGGGGAGUACGGUCGCAAGAUUAAAACUUAAAUGAAUUGACGGGGUCAUAGCUG
rnacentral:rRNA from 1 species